UUACUUUUUAACCAACCCAACGGGCCUUUUUCUCCUGAGGGAGGAGUGACUGGUCACCACUGGGUUCGAAGUCCAACCCAUAUCAUCUGGUCGAGACAGAGGUGGGGAUUAUUACAACAAGUAGAUAAUAAUGGUGGCACAACUGGGACUCAUCUCCUUCUCUUCUUCUUCUUGUUUUAAAACCCAUCCAUUCUCCUUCACAAAACACAACUCCUCCUCAAUUCCCACCAUGGCAGCACUCAGUGAUGAUCCUAUCCGGGAAUGGAUAUUGUCAGAGGGAAAAGCUACCAAUAUCACAAGAAUUAGUCCAAUAGGGGGUGGUUGUAUCAAUCUUGCAAAUCGUUAUGACACUGAUGCUGGCUCAUUUUUUGUCAAAACAAACAGGAAUAUUGGGCCAUCCAUGUUUGAGGGCGAGGCUUUGGGCCUAAGUGCCAUGUAUGAAACCAGAUCGAUACGUGUCCCUAGGCCAUUUAAGUUUGGAGCUCUACCAACAGGUGGUUCAUAUAUCAUUAUGGAAUACAUCGAAUUUGGUUCAUCAAGAGGCGAUCAGUCUUUGUUAGGAAAGAAGCUUGCUGAAAUGCACAAAGCAGCAAAAUCUGGAAAUGGUUUUGGUUUUCAUGUUGAUAAUACAAUUGGAAGUACCCCGCAGAGUAAUACGUGGACGUCGGACUGGAUACAGUUUUAUGCAGAGCAUAGACUGGGUUACCAACUGAAAUUAGCCCGGGAGCAGUUUGGCGAUUCAACUAUUCAUGAGAAAGGACAACGCCUUGUGAAAAAUAUUGGAUCUCUCUUCGAAAAUGUUGUCAUAGAGCCUUGCUUGUUACAUGGAGACUUAUGGAGUGGAAAUAUUUGCUCCGACAAGAAUGGCCAGCCUGUAAUAUUAGACCCAGCAUGUUACUAUGGACACAAUGAGGCCGAAUUCGGGAUGUCAUGGUGUGCUGGAUUUGGAGGAUCUUUCUACAGUGCAUACUUUGAGGUAAUGCCCAAACAACCAGGCUUUGAGAAGAGAAGAGAUCUCUACAUGCUGUAUCAUUAUUUGAACCAUUACAAUUUGUUUGGUUCUGGCUAUCGGCCAUCUGCCAUGUCAAUAAUUGAUGAUUACCUGCGGAUGUUAAAUGCUUAGAGAGUCUGACAUGUUCAUACAUGAUUAAUAUUUAUAGCCAGAUGAGAUGAGAAUCAAAUAUAGCUUAUGCAUUGUGUUGAUUUGUCACCUAAAAAUGUUUCAGCAGCAACCCCAGUUGCCCUAUCUUCGCAUACAAUUCCUCCAGCUCCUUGUAAUUUUAUAUCUUUUUUGUUCUUCAUUUUAGAGCAUUAAGCUUUGCCUUGUGCUAUGUAAUGUCAAAACAUAGUAAACUAUUCAUGAAAUAAUGUAAAUUAAACCAUUAUAUUGCAGCUUCUAUGUAUGUAGUCAUGAUAGGGUCGCGCAAACCAAUACUUAAAAUAAAACUAUAGAACCACGAAGGUUCUGCUGCAGAAUUCUAUUUUUUACAUAGAUUUUCAUGAUGUAAAUAUAUGUUUGUUUUUGCA